rnacentral:tRNA from 1 species
GAGGGUAUAGCUCAGUGGUGGAGCACAUGCUUAGCAUGCACGAGGUCCUCAGUUCAGUCCCCAGUACCUCCA